AAUUUUUUUUAUUGAAAUGCACUGCAGAUAUGAGUGAAAUUGUGUAAAGUAACUCCAUCACACUGUAUAAAGCUAUGAUAAAAUUUUUGAUAUUUUUACUGAAAACAAGACAAAAAUACCAAGUAAUUUUUUGCAGUGUGACUCCAUUAAGUGUGUGUGUGUGUGUGUAGAUUAAACAUGAACGGGCCAAAACGGACAUGGCAGCAGGUCAAAAUCAAAUACAAGAACAUUCUGCAGAAUGGUAUGGUCCCUGACUAAUAUUUAACAAAGCACAAGCAUAUAUUGUACCCAGAAGGUGCCUGCUCACACAUUGUCUGUACUGUUUUAGCAGUGAAAAAGAAUACCCACAGACAAGGCACGGGUGGUGGGUCACCAAAGGCUGACCUUACCCCAGCAGAGGACAUGGCCUUGGAGCUAAAUAAAGGCAGGCCCGUCUUAGAGGGGAUCCCUGGGGGGAAAGAGACGAGCAUAGGUUCCUCCCAAGAUGCCACCCACUUCAUUCAAGUGUCUGGCAGCACUGUGUUCCUGUUAGAGCCACCAGCACAAGCACCAGACGAUGCUGAUCCAGGUGAAGGCCCCAGUGCAGCAGCAACAGCACAUGAUGGAGACGAUGAUGAGGAGGAGACCAUCUCUCUGGAUUCCAGAAGGCAUGAGGUAUCAUGUUAAGACUGUGAAAGUACUAUUUACUCUACAAUGGUGAGGAGUCCUCAUCAAAAUCAAAAAAUCUAAUUUCUUUUACAGGACCCAGAUGCUAUACAGUGGGAAAACCAGCCUGGCAACAUAGUGCGUAUUAA
rnacentral:lncRNA from 13 species